rnacentral:lncRNA from 1 species
UCCUCCAGGGCCUGAGUGGAUGGGAGGGCUAAUAUUAUGAGUCAACUUGACUGGGCCGCAUGGUGCUCAGAUAUUUGGUUAAACAUUAUUUCUGGGUGUGUCUGUGAGAUGUUUCUGGAUGAGGUUAACAUUUGAUUUGGAAGACUGAGUAAAGCAGAUUGCCCUCCCCAGUGUGGGUGAGCCUCAUGCAAUCUAUUGAAGGCCUAAAGAGGAAAAAAGGCUGAGUAAGAAAGAAUUCUUUCUCUCCCUCUGACUGUCUUUGAGCUGGGACAUCAGUCUUCUGCCUUUGGACUUGGACUCAGACGGAUUUAUACCAUUGGCUCUUCUAGUUCUCAGGCCUUUGCACUCAGACUGGAACUACACCAUUGGCUCUUCUAGGUCUUUAUCUUGCUGGCUACAGAUCUUGGACCUCCCAGCCUCCACACUUGUUUUGUUUGGGACAGAAAUUCUGGAGCAGCGUGGCUGGGUGGUUCUGGCUCAGGGUCUCUCAUUAGCUUGCCUCCAAUGUCAGCCAGGGCUGCAGUCAUCUGAAGCCUUGACUGGGGCUGAGAGAGGAGGAUCUACUCUCAAGGUGGAUCACUCACUGGCAGGUGAAGACACAACAGUAAGACAGCCAUCUGCAAGCCAGGAAGAGAGCCCUCACAAGGAAUCAAAUCAGCCAGAACCUUGAUCUUGGACUUCCCAGCCUCCAGAACUGUGAAAAAUAAAAUAAAUUUUGUUGUUUAAGCUACGCAGUUGAUGGCAUUUUGUUGUGGCAGUUCAAGCAGACUGAUAGACCAUAUUAUAAAGAUUCCCUUUGCUCUAUUUUCUAAUAUCAUCUUUCUUACUUUCCAUUAAGCACUCAUGGAUAGCCUUCUUGCAGUGCUGGUUGUAAUCCCAA